AAUAAAAUAAAAUUAACAAAAUUCUAAAUUAAGUUAAAAAAAAUCUUUGGGUGUUACAAGGUAUGCCCAAGUUUAACGAACAACUAGAUAGCCAACUUCAACUCUUCAAAACCACAUAACAUCUUUUUUGGGGAUUCGAUUUUACUUGUUAAGCUGCACUUUCUAAAAUAAAAAGAAAAUUAGUAAUAAACAAAAGAUCAUAAAGUUUUGGUAUGUAUUUUAAAAAUUU
rnacentral:lncRNA from 1 species